rnacentral:rRNA from 1 species
CCUACGGGCGGCUGCAGUGGGGAAUAUUGGACAAUGGGCGAAAGCCUGAUCCAGCCAUGCCGCGUGUGUGAAGAAGGCCUUCGGGUUGUAAAGCACUUUCAGUGGGGAAGAAAGCCUUGGGGCUAAUACCCUCGAGGAAGGACAUCACCCACAGAAGAAGCACCGGCUAACUCCGUGCCAGCAGCCGCGGUAAUACGGAGGGUGCGAGCGUUAAUCGGAAUUACUGGGCGUAAAGCGCGCGUAGGCGGUCUGAUAAGCCGGUUGUGAAAGCCCCGGGCUCAACCUGGGAACGGCAUCCGGAACUGUCAGGCUAGAGUGCGGGAGAGGAAGGUAGAAUUCCCGGUGUAGCGGUGAAAUGCGUAGAGAUCGGGAGGAAUACCAGUGGCGAAGGCGGCCUUCUGGACUGACACUGACGCUGAGGUGCGAAAGCGUGGGUAGCAAACAGGAUUAGAUACCCCAGUAGUC